rnacentral:ncRNA from 1 species
CAUAAAUCUUUGAUGUGGAGAAGUAAUAUAUAGAUGUUUUGAAGAGAGUUAGUGGUUGGUGUAAACUAAUAAACUAUAUAUAUGAAUAACACCACUGAGUGGAAUAUUGAAAUUAAGUAAGUAUUCUCGGGGAACCGUUAUAAUAAUAAAGUAAACAAAGGAUGGUACCGUCUUUAUGACUCCUUAU